CAGGGGUUGGGGUGGAAUUUCCAGUCCCAAAAUGGCAAUCAGGGAGCAAGGCACCUGUGAAGGGACAGGGCCAUGUGGCCCUUGACAGCUCACCAAAAGUUGUUAAGGAGCCCUCCAGCUGAAAUAAUUGCCCACCCCUGCUAUAAACCAUUUUAUCCUGGGAUAAAGUGGUCAUAUAGACAUCCAUGUCUGUUGUCCGAGGAUAAAUCCUAAUAAAAAUUCCCAGGUAAAAGGUAGUAACAGUUUAUCUCAGGAUAUUGCAAAGUAUUGCCUGUACAGUUAUCUCAGCACUGCAUCAUUUAAUCAAUGGCAGAAAAGGGAAACCAUAUUCAGCCACUCACUAAACCCUGGUUAGAAGUGCUCUGUGUGUACACACUAAUCCCAGGAUACUUUUGUUCCAGGAAAAAUAUAGGCACAACUUAUCCAGGGACAAAUGCAAUGUUUGUUCUUAGCAUAGCCUCAAAACAGACAUCAAUUUCUCUCAGCACAAGGCCUCUUAUUCUAGGAUCUAACAGAUGUAUAAACCCAUUCUCCCACUUCAAGUACCUGUGAAGUAUCAAAGAUAACACUUUUAUCCAGGACAAUCAUGCCUAAUUUGAGUUUGCUGUCAUUUAUAAAAUCAUAGAAAAUUAAGGUUGGAAGGGACCUCAGGAGGCCUAGUCCAGCACCCCAUCCCCAAGUAUAUCAUCCCAGUCAAGGCUUUGUCUAGCCAGGUCUUAAAAAUAUCCAAGAAUGGAGAUUCCACAACCUCUUUGGGUAGCCUGUUCCAGUGCUUCACAACCCUCAUAGUGAGAGUUUUUCCUAAUACCCAACCUGAAUUUCCCUUGAGCUCAAGCUGCAUGUGUAAAUGCCUGCCCCAAGCCUGUUUUGAUGGGUGUCAAAGUCUGGAACAAUCAGACCUGGGGUAAACCCAACAUCUGUUUUUACCCGUAGUGUUUUGCAGUUGAAAUUAUUGAUUCCAAAGCUCCAGAAAUUGGGAGGCCAGAUUCAUUCCUGGUGUGAGUCCAUCAAACUCAACGGACAUAAAUAAAGGAUGAAUUUUGCAAAGCUAUAGGCAAAACAGCAGAAAUACUGAUAAAGCAGAAAAAUUAGAAGGAGUGUGUUGGCAAGCUUUGAAGGAGGGAGAGGAAACCCAGUUUCCAAUCAUAAGGGCUUGUCACAGAGCACUCAGGGUCUCUGUGCCUGAAGAGGAGAAAACUGCUAGGGAAGGAGUCCUAGCAGUGACUAAGGAGCGCAGCUGGGGGUUGCUGGGGCAACCAAGGAAGGUCAGCUGACCAGGAGGGGGCAGGGCCUGGACCUUAUAAAGCCCAAGGAGCUGAGACCAGAGUCAGUUUCCUGUCAGCAGCUAAAGAGGCAGGAGCUCUGGGAGCAAAGAGAAAUCCAGCCACAUGCCUACAGUGGCCCAGGCCAGACGUUGGGGGUGUUGAAGCAUCUUCCUGCUCAGCAGACAACUUGGAGCAGACACCUUGGGCCAAAGCUAGCUUGCCCACUCUGUGAGGGGGAAUUUGCUGGGGAGCUGCAAGGAGGUGACUUGCAGCAAGGCUGAAAAACCUACCAUAACUCCCUUGCAUCCUAUCACACGAUGCUACUUUUGGACCAGCUGCUGGAGUCAACUGAUUUUUCUGAGAAUCUCUGGUUUCAUUGAAAAAAAAAAAAUCUUCAGUGAAGAACCAUUUUAUGCUGUCAAACUUCUGCUGGGUUUGUCCUUCAUGUGGUGCACUGGAAGGGAACAGGUGGUAUAUAGGAACACUGAGUAGAGUCCUUGCCACCAUGGAUUUAUUCCUGCCUCAGAGCACCAGCAUUCAAGAGGCACUCUGUCUGCUAUUCUGAUCGUUGCCAUGUAGGCCAAGUCUGGACUUGGAAAACUGAGAUUUGAGAUCCUUCACCUGUGAAGAACCACCUGUAGCAAUGGCUAAAUGGAGGUGGAGAGUGGAUUUGAGACUUUUACCACCGUGUCAUUUAACUAAACUCUGAAGAAGUUAGAUGACAGUGGGAAGAACACCAGUGAUGAUGAGGCUACCACUGCCACUGCUGCCACUAAUAAAAAACCUCAACUAGCUUACAGUCUCUAGAAAAAUAUGAAGGAUCAAGGGAGGAUUGGGUGUGGAGGUUUGGGUCUUGUUUUCUUCUGAUGCUAAUAGUUUUCUUGGUUUUAUGUAUUAGAGGAGAGUUUGGACUCUGCAACACAGCAUCCAGCUCCCAAACAGGUUGGAGACUUCUGAAAAAAAUGGGCUGUGAUGGAAAAUUUGGGACAUCACUUGGCUACCCAGUUAUGUGCAUGGGAGUUCAUUUCCUUUUGGAAUUCUGAAUGGCCGGAUUCAGAGAGUUUCUCAGCGGAGGGGUUGAUUAUACAACGGCUCUGUUCAGAGAGAUUUUUGAGUACCUCUGAUUUUCCUUUCUUUUAAAAAAAAUUUGAUCAUUGAUUAUCUCAGAACAGACAAUUUUGUGAACUGGUGGAAAAUGAGGGAGAAUCGGUGGUCAAUGACAAAAGAGUAAAGGAACCCCAAAUCCAGGAAUUGUUCAAUAGACCAUUAAAGCAUGCUCCAAAAGCAAAUCUGACCAGGAGUACACAUGCUCCACUUGUUGUGGAAAGAAGGGAAAGUAGGACUGAGGGAAAAGGACACAUAACUGGUAUUCAGCAAGAAUUUGCUAACCCACAGUCACUGGACCAUUGAGAGCAAUUUUAGUCAAUUAGAAGAAUGACACAGUGAAACAAAUAGCUGUGGGGAAACAAAAAGUCCUCCAGGAAAUCAUAAAAAUAAUAAUGGAAAUUAUUCUUAGAAAGGUUAAUAAAAUGAAAUAUGAGGUCCAAGCCACAUGAAGCUUCUGUUAUGAAAAAGCAAAUAAAACGGAUGAGGAAUUAGCAUAGUUGUUUAAAGAAAUAAAGUACUUAACAUAAUAUGAUAUGUAUUAAGACUUCUAAUAGUCUCAGAAUACCAGGAAACUGAUUCAGUUUGAAUAUCUGAAGUUAUAUCAAUCAGAGGAAAGGAAAAGGAAGCAAGAAAGAAAAACCUUUGAGUGAAAUCCUGGUGUCAUUAAAGCCCGAAGAAGUUUUGCCAUUUC